rnacentral:rRNA from 1 species
AGCAGCCGCGGUAAUUCCAGCUCCAAUAGCGUAUAUUAAAGUUGUUGCAGUUAAAAAGCUCGUAGUUGAACUUCGGGAUCAAUGGAUCGGUCAUGCCAUUGGUGUGUACUGGUCCUAUUGGUUCUCACCUUCUAAGGAACCUUAAUGUCAUUAAUUUGAUGUUUUGGGGAAUUAGGACUGUUACCUUGAAAAAUUAGAGUGUUUAAAGCAGGCUAACGCUUGAAUACAUUAGCAUGGAAUAAUGAAAUAGGACAUCGCAUUCUAUUUUGUUGGUUUCUAGGAUCGAUGUAAUGAUUAAUAGGGAUAGUUGGGGGCAUUAGUAUUCAAUUGUCAGAGGUGAAAUUCUUGGAUUUAUUGAAGACUAACUACUGCGAAAGCAUUUGCCAAGGAUGUUUUCAUUAAUCAAGAACGAAAGUUAGGGGAUCGAAGACGAUCAGAUACCGUCGUAGU